UGGGUGAGUAAUGUCUGGGAAACUGCCUGAUGGAGGGGGAUAACUACUGGAAACGGUAGCUAAUACCGCAUAACGUCGCAAGACCAAAGAGGGGGACCUUAGGGCCUCUUGCCAUCGGAUGUGCCCAGAUGGGAUUAGCUAGUAGGUGGGGUAACGGCUCACCUAGGCGACGAUCCCUAGCUGGUCUGAGAGGAUGACCAGCCACACUGGAACUGAGACACGGUCCAG
rnacentral:rRNA from 1 species